rnacentral:lncRNA from 1 species
UUUUUUUGUAUUUGUCUUCUAUGGAACAAUUCUAGCCUCAAGACCUGGGUCAUGGGUUUAAAUGGUUAGCCAAGGUUGACUUAGGUUUUUUUUAGAAUCUUUUUUACAUUUUUUUAUUUCAUUCUUCAAUAGGGUUAUCCUGAUCUCUUGUGCUAAGUCGCAUGUUUCUCGAAUUAACCUAGGUUGACUCGGGCGAAGUUCAUUUUGUUUGAUUUAUCUGCUAUUGUCUCAAGCC